UACAGAGGGUGCGAGCGUUAAUCGGAAUUAUUGGGCGUAAAGGGCAUGUAGGUGGAUUUACAAGUCCCCCGUUAAAUCCAGCUGCUUAACAGAUGGGCUGCGGAGGAUACUAUAAGACUAGGAGGCAGGAGAGGCAAGCGGUACUCAGUGGGUAGGGGUAAAAUCCGUUGAUCCAUUGAAGACCACCAGUGGCGAAGGCGGCUUGCCAGAAUGCGCUUGACGGUGAGGGAUGAAAGCUGGGGGAGCAAACCGG
rnacentral:rRNA from 1 species